rnacentral:rRNA from 1 species
GACGAACGCUGGCGGCGUGCUUAACACAUGCAAGUCGAACGGAAAGGCCCUGCGUUUGUUGCGUUCUCGAGUGGCGAACGGGUGAGUAACACGUGAGUAACCUGUCCCUGACUGUGUGAUAACUUCAGGGAACAGGGGCCAAUAUCCGAGAGGAGCUCCUGAUGCGUGGUGUGGGAUGGUAAGUUUCGGCGGUUGGGGCUGUACUCGCUGCUUAUCAGCUUGUUUGGGGGGUAGUGGCUUACCACGGCUUUGACGGGUAGCCCGCCUGAGAGGGUGAACGGCCACAUUGGGCCUACGAUACGCAGCAGUAUGGUAUGGGCGGCAACAGUGGGGAACAUUGCAGAGUGGCGCGGAGCGAGAUGUAGAAACGCCGCGAGCGGAAUGCCCGCUUUCGGGUUGUGAACCAAUUUCGACUGUGACGAAGCGUGAGUGACGGUACUGGGUAAAGAAGCCCCGGCUAACUACGUG